rnacentral:rRNA from 1 species
AUUGAACGCUGGCGGCAGGCCUAACACAUGCAAGUCGAGCGGUAGAGAGGUGCUUGCAUCUCUUGAGAGCGGCGGACGGGUGAGUAAUGCCUAGGAAUCUGCCUAGUGGUGGGGGAUAACGUUCGGAAACGGACGCUAAUACCGCAUACGUCCUACGGGAGAAAGCGGGGGAGUCUUCGGACCUCGCGCCAUUAGAUGAGCCUAGGUCGGAUUAGCUAGUUGGUGAGGUAAUGGCUCACCUAGGCGACGAUCCGUAACUGGUCUGAGAGGAUGAUCAGUCACACUGGAACUGAGACACGGUCCAGACUCCUACGGGAGGCAGCAGUGGGGAAUAUUGGACAAUGGGCGAAAGCCUGAUCCAGCCAUGCCGCGUGUGUGAAGAAGGU